AAGAAUUUCACGAAAUUUAUAUUUGCGAUCUACACCAUUCUAGUUGUCACUCAACAAGGUCUUCAGCUGAGAAUCCCUGUCAUGUGGCACCCCGUUUGGCAUCAAACAACUUCAGUUUAAAUAUGUAUGAUCGUGACUAAGACCUGAGCUAAUGGAUUAUUCAAGACCAUAAGUAACAACAAAAACAAACUAUGAAACCAAUUUCAAGAUAAAAAUUCUUGUGAAGAAGAUAUUCAAUAUGCCAGUUAAAAAUUUGAAACCAUAAUAAAAUCACAAGAUAUUGCAAUAAAUUGAAUAGCCAACACAUCAGCUGCUAAGUUUAAAUUGCAAAUAAAUUUAAUUAAAAAUGCAUUAAUUAAA